rnacentral:rRNA from 1 species
AGAGUUUGAUCCUGGCUCAGGAUGAACACUGGCGGCGUGCCUUAAGCAUGCAAGUCGAACGAUCUGUAGCAAUACAGGUAGUGGCGGACGGUCGAGUAACGCGUGGGGAUCUGCCUUAAAGUUGGACAUAGCUCAUCGAAAGGUGGGGUAAUUUCCAAUGUGAACGUAAGUUCGAAGCCGUAAGGCGCUUUAAGAUGAACCCGCGUCCUAUCAGCUAGUUGGUGGGGUAAAAGCCUACCAAGGCAUCGACGGGUAGCUGGUCUGAGAGGAUGAUCAGCCGGAAUAGCACUGAGACACGGGCUAUACAUCUACGGAUGGCAGCAACUGGGAAUCUUGCGCAAUGGGGGAAACCCUGACGCAGCGACGCCGCGUGGAGGAUUGAAGGCCCUCGGGUUGUAAACUCCUUUUGGGUGGGAAGAUUAUGACGGUACCACCAGAAUAAGCACCUGCUAACUACGUGCCAGAAGCCUCGGUAAUACGUAGGGUGCAAGCGUUAUCCGGAUUUAUUGGGCGUAAAGUGUUGCGUAGGCUGAUUUGCGCACUUUGUUUAAAAGGCUAAGGCUUAACCUUAGUUUUGGGCAAAAUAUGGCAAAUCUUGAUGGCUUAAGAGGGUACUGGAACUUAACAUGUAGCAGUGAAAUGCGUUGAUAUGUUAAGGAACACCAAAGGCGUAGGCAGGUACCUGGGAAGCACAUGACGCUGAGGCACGACAGCUAGGGGAGCGAAGCAGAUUAGAGACCUGCGUAGUCCUAGCCGUAAACGAUGAAUGCUAGUUAUCCCGCAAUUGCGGGACGACGUAAGGUAACCCGUUAAGCAUUCCGCCUGGGGAGUACGGCCGCAAGGCUAAAACUCAAAGGAAUUGACGGGGAGGCGCACAAGCAGUGGAGCAUGUGGUUUAAUUCGAUACAAAGCGAAAAACCUCACCAGGGUUUGACAUGUAGUUGCUAAGCCUAAGAAACUAGGCCUCCUUCGAGGGUACUACACAGAUGGUGCAUGGCUGUCGUCAGCUCGUGGCGUGGGCUGUACCGUUAAGUCGGGUAACGAGCGCAACCC